CUUAUACUAAAUUCCCAAAAGUUACAUCAACACCCAAAAUAUAUGUUAGAAUCCCAAAAGUACAACCAAUAAGAAAUCUAGCCCAAAUUACAUUAGAAACCCGAAGCCAGAAGUGCAUCCAAAGGGGUUUCUCCAAGUUCAUUUCAUGUCCAACCCUGUUAAGGAAAACAAAUUUACAGGGCGAGCGUGAGGCCAAGAACACACAUGCAAGCACAUUGUUCAAGUAACAAUACCAAUUUAACAAGUAAAGCAACAAUAUUGCAAUAUAUAACAAUUCGAGCGGAAAUAGUAAACAGAAACAAUUCAAGGAUAUUGGAGCUCUCUGGAGCUAAUUUCCACUUGCUUUGCCAAUGUCAUUCGUAUACCUUCCCGCGAUGACACUCCAUCAACCGGGUCGGUAUUUCCAUUCCGUAGAUCACCACUUACUUCCCUCAGUCCACCGUGCAUCUCCCGGGCCCGCAAGACAUUUGUAAGGCGAUACUCUACGAAUAUGCCAAGCAAGACCUCUCAUUAGGUCGAGCUUAUUUAUCUCAUGACUCGCCAAAGUUCCCGACCAAGCCCAUGCUGGCUUGAGUUCAAGGUCGGCCUAUGAGUUUGGGCGUCCCCCAUUUACAUUUGAGAGUCGAGGAGAUUCACUCCAACGACGUAUGUAGCCAUAGCAUACCAUUUAAUUUCAUUCAAUCAUUCAAUCAUUCAAUCAUCUCAUUUCAUUCAAUUAAGUCAUUCAUAAUUCAUUUGGUACAUUUGAACCAUGAGUCAUUUAUUUCAAAUAAGAACGAGUGCGGUAAAGUACACACUCGCCUCUAUUUUCAAAAUCUCCAAACAAUUAUAACAAUUAAACAUGUAUCAAGUAUUCAUACACUUGAUACUCACCAAUAAAAGAAAUGAGAAAGAAAUGUCCCUCGGAGCUUUAAGCGUUCACUGUGGGAUCCUCUUGAAGGUCCUCUUGUGUGCCUGAGCAAUUAACAAUAGACUAUCAUUUACAAACCCCUACUAUUAAAGAAGAUCGUACUAUAGUACAAUCUUAGAAAAUCUCGUGAAACGAGCCUUAUUUAUCCUAAAUCAAGGCUCACAAGUGGGGUUUUAAAGUACAAGAGAAAUUUAGUUUUCAUUUUGAAAAUCAAGUAUAAAACGUUCAGGUAAUAUCGAAGGAAUAAAGAGUACUUGAAAAACUCCAUUUCCUUGGAAUUCGGAAAAUUUCAGUUUUGAUACGAUACAUUAGAAAAAUCGUAUCUCAUGAUUUACAAGUCAAAAAUUGGAAAACUCGGUACCGUUGCAAACCUCUUCCAAGGUACUAAAAGUUCAUAGAAUACAUUUUCCCAUGAUUCCAGACGGAAAGUAUUCAAAAAUUGGCUCAAAGUUGCUGUUUUGAACAUGAGGACAGCUUUCGGGGUUGGUUUUUGGCCAAAUUUGGAAAUUCAGCAAAAUUCACUCAAUUUGAACUAGCCUUUAAAAUUUGGAACUCUAUUAGAGUUGUAAUCCAGGUUUAAAGAAAAAUAAGCGGAAUGAGAAUUGAAAUUUCGAGCACCAAGAUAUGGUAGUUCAAAGUUACCCAAAUUUCCUUGUUAAACAAGGGUUUUCCAAAAUCAAGUCAUGAACUUUGGAAGUUUAGUUGAGCAAUGAAACGGCCUUGGAAUAUCACCAAAAUUAGCAGUAUAAUACUACCAUAUAAGUUUUGUUCCUCUACCAAAUUUCAUGGAUAACUAAGCACAGAAAGUGGGUUAACAAAACCGUUGAAAUCACAAGAAAUUCUAAGGCUAACCUGCCUUUGAACUUCCGUUUUGCCAUUUCCAAACAUUUGGUCAAGGAACAUCUCAAACAUAGUUCAUUCCAGUAGGAAAUGUCCAAAAUAUGUUCAAUUUACAUUCGAUAGAUGAUUUACAAUAAGAAGCUUUGGAUAACAAGUCCCAAACCGUAGUUAGUUUCAAAUCUGUCCAAAAUACUGUUUUCGUUCACAAAGUCAGUUUUGAAUUUCGAUCAUAAAUCACUCAAUUCAACUCAGAAUUGAGUGUGGUUGGUGGCGUUAGAAAGUAUACUCACAAGGCUAUAUUUUCUCAGAAGAAACCAUUUUCAAAAUCUGUCCAUAACCAGCUCAUUCAUGAGCAUCAAGUUGCAACUCAUGUGCUGCCUUCCAGGAAGCAACGAAACAGGACAAUGGAUUUCAAAUGAAUGGUUUGGCUUGAUCAAUUGGAACCAGAACAUACAUUUUAUACCAAUAGAAAAAUGGGAAUGUCUAGUUUCCAGUGCCACAAACGGCACUCAAUUCCGACAUCGGAGUAAAACGAUAUAGUCGAAACAAAAACACUGCCUGGGUGAAUACGGGAUUAGUUUCCAGAUUUCUAAGCUUUCGUAAAUCCAACAUUUGGGUGACCAAAUCAAGUUAUUUUUUAAUGAAACUUUUUACACAACCAAUAUAACAUGUAAAAAACAUAAUCAAGCCAUUAGAACCUCAAAAUUUUGCAUAAAAGUGGUCGGACAAGGCAGGGGUAAAACGGUCACUUUUGCUCCAAGCACCUCCUUUGAUUUCUACCAACAAUACAACAUUAAUCCACUAAUUUAAGCACUAAACCACCAUUAAUUUCAUCAUCAAUCAUCAAAUCAGUCCUUCCAUCAAAAGUGGGAGUUCAUAGAGCCCACACAACAAAAAUCCACCAUAAACAAGACUACCCACAUGCAUACGAGAGUUUAUACGUGAAAUUCUACUUCCAAAAACCAAGAUUCGAAGGUUGGAUCAUCACCUAUUUGUGUGAUGAACAAAGGCAGAAUUUCGGCUCCCUUCUUGUCCAAGAAAACCGUGGAUUGCAGCUCUCCUUUGUAGCUUAAUGUGAUCUCCAAGUAUUAGGCUAAGUGUGGUUCAAUUUUGGUUUGAUUUGGUUGACGAUUUGUGCAAAAUUUGGAGAUGGAAAAUUGAAGAGCAAAUGGGUUAUUUUUGCUGCUGAUGGCCGGCUGCUUUGUGAGGAGGAGAG
rnacentral:lncRNA from 1 species